AGUGAACGCUGGCGGUAGGCCUAACACAUGCAAGUCGAACGGCAGCACAGUAAGAGCUUGCUCUUACGGGUGGCGCGUGGCGGACGGGUGAGGAAUACAUCGGAAUCUACUUUUUCGUGGGGGAUAACGUAGGGAAACUUACGCUAAUACCGCAUACGACCUACGGGUGAAAGCAGGGGAUCUUCGGACCUUGCGCGAUUGAAUGAGCCGAUGUCGGAUUAGCUAGUUGGCGGGGUAAAGGCCCACCAAGGCGACGAUCCGUAGCUGGUCUGAGAGGAUGAUCAGCCACACUGGAGCUGAGACACGGUCCAGACUCCUACGGGAGGCAGCAGUGGGGAAUAUUGGACAAUGGGCGCAAGCCUGAUCCAGCCAUACCGCGUGGGUGAAGAAGGCCUUCGGGUUGUAAAGCCCUUUUGUUGGGAAAGAAAAGCAGCAGGUUAAUACCCCGCUGUUCUGACGGUACCCAAAGAAUAAGCACCGGCUAACUUCGUG
rnacentral:rRNA from 1 species